AUGUCCUCGCUCGCAAGAGUCGSYUCAYAGGUGCUGCAUGGCUGUCGUCAGCUCGUGUCGUGAGAUGUUGGGUUAAGUCCCGCAACGAGCGCAACCCUUACCUUUAKUUGCCAGCAUUCAGUUGGGCACUCUAAAGGGACUGCCUGCGUUAAGCAGGAGGAAGGUGGGGAUGACGUCAAGUCCUCAUGGCCCUUAUGUCCGGGGCUACACACGUGCUACAAUGGUGGUCACARAGGGAAGCCAAGCCGCAAGGUGGAGCCAAUCCCUUAAAAGCCAUCUAAGUUCAGAUUGGUCUCUGCAACUCSAGACCAUGAAGUUGGAAUCGCUAGUAAUCGCGGAUCAGAAUGCCGCGGUGAAUACGUUCCCGGGCCUUGUACACACCGAA
rnacentral:rRNA from 1 species